GACCGGCGGGGGCGGAGGCGGCGGAGCGUCGUCAGCAUCCUGCGACCGGUUCGGGAAGGCGCGGGGCGGGCACCGCGUGUGAGGAGAGCCGAGCCGGGCCUGCUAGCGGUACUCGGCCGCGGGAGGAGACGACCACCAGCCAACCGCAAGACUGUUGCAAUGAGUUUUGUUGAAUAUGGCGAUACAAUCAAGGAUGGUGACACAGCUAUUGUGUUCUUGGGCCACGAAUCCAUGUUUCCUGUGAAAGUCCAGCAAGGCAGUGUAACUCAGACUAAAUAUGGGGUCAUCCGGCAUUCUACAGAUCUCAUAGGCAAGAAGUAUGGCUCCAAAGUGACCUGCAGUAAAGGAGGAUGGGUUUUUAUUCUUCAUCCAACUCCAGAACUGUGGACUGUGAAUCUUCCACACAGGACACAGAUCCUGUAUUCCACUGACAUCUCUGUAAUCACCAUGAUGUUAGAACUGAAGCCAGGCUCCAUAGUGUGCGAAUCAGGUACAGGCAGCGGAUCCCUGUCCCACGCUCUCAUCAGGACAGUGGCUCCCACGGGGCACCUGUACACAGUGGAGUUCCACCAACAGAGAGCUGAGAAGGCCAAGGAGGAAUUUCGGGAGCAUGGAGUAGAGCAUCUGGUCACGGUGACCAACCAGGAUGUCUGCAAGAAUGGAUUUGGUGUCUCAGACAUUGCAGAUGCUGUGUUCCUGGAUAUUCCAUCUCCAUGGGAAGCCAUCGGACAUGCAAAGUCGGCGUUAAAAGCUGAAGGUGGCCGCAUCUGCUCUUUCUCCCCCUGCAUUGAACAAGUCCAGAGAACUUGCCUAGCAAUGGAAGAGCACGGUUUUACAGAGAUUAACACCUUGGAAAUUCUGCUCCGAGUAUACAAUGUACUUUGGGCUACGUGAUGGUGAGGAGAUGGCUCUUGCUUGGAAGUGUUCCAGAGAUGAGGGUUCUGGUUCACACACUCCCUCGAGAGUACAUCUGUGCUCCAUUAGUCCUGUAAACCUCCAUUGUGGAGCUCCUAGAUCCAGCUGAAGUCUGAGAGAUGCUACCAUGGCCCUGGAUGGAAGGAAAUACAUUUCAGAUGACAAUAGCGAUGCCGGCUGAGAUGUUUGCAUUUGCUCUCUCAUUCUCAUGUGAUCAGCAACUGCUUCACCCUCCCAGUUUCCACCAGGAGAGGUAUACUAACAGCACAUUACCAGUACCAGGAAAGAACGUGUCUGCAUAACCUCCAUUUGGAAGGGAUCCACAAAGAUCAUCGAGUCCAACUCCUGGCUCCACACUGCACGACUCAGAAUCUCACCAAAAUCUUCACAAAGCAAAAUGGCUUCACAACCACAAAGAGCUUCAACCAUUGGACUUCAUUUGAAACAAUGCAUUAACCAAUGGACCUGCUGAAAGACAUUGACUUUGUGUUGGAAGAGUUUGACUAGAUACACUGAAAACUGAUAACCUCCUGAUAAACUGAAAAGGACUAUUUCAGAUUUGCUUUGGAUUGACAGAGUAGAGAUUUUCAAUAGAGCUGGGCCUGUCUGGGUGAAUCUGCUCCUUCGCCAAACAAAACAGAAGCUGAAAGGCAGUUCAACCACAGCCUAUAACCAAAUUCCAGACUACACACCAGGGGAGAAGAGAAGCUUCUCAUGAAUAUGUUUAUACUCAAAAUUAGAAGGUUACUUAAUCCCCAUGGCAUGAUGGUUUGGAGCAACUCUUUACUAGAAGACUGAGGAAACACCAUUUUCAGAUGAGGCUUGAUUAGCUGCAAGGCCUGUCUGUGGUUGCAAGAGAGCAAAUGAUGGGCUGCAUGGGCCUGUCAGUGGGCCCCCUUCAAAACACUGCCUUACUUGUCAUGGUGGGAACCCUUGGAUGCUGAUUGUUCUGGAAAACUCAAUUUCCACUAGGUUUCUGAAAGUGACCCAAGGCUGCUCAUUAAGAUCAAUGCAAGGCUGAGCUUUUCAAACCUCCUUUCCCACUGGUAUUAACAUGAGGCACCUGGAAGGAAAGAAAUAGACUAUGGGUGAUAGAUAACUGGCUACAGAUUGGUCUGAAUAAAACAAUUUUAUGAAGACUUGUCAUUAGAAAAGAUCAAUAUAAAAAUAACACUAGUGAUAUCUCACUCAGACUUGCUACCAGUCAUUAUACUAUCCCUUCCAAUUAAGAGUUUAUUGCAGGAGACGCUCCAUCUCAUACACUGUCUUCUGCCACUUACACUGACUCCAAGUGCAUGCUAAGGGUUGCCAUUGCCAGAAAUUUCACAGGGAGUGACAGUGAUGAUGGCAUCUGUAGGGAUGGGUGGCACCAUCUUGCCCAAGGCUAAGGCCCAUCAGCGAGUGGUUGGACUGUACCCUGGAGGAGCAUGUAGGGUGACUGUGGAAAACAAGGAUGAGCUGCAGGGUGUAGGCUAGGUCUAAUUGCAAGAAGGUGAAAGGGAACAGGAUGGGAUUUUAUUCUGCUUUCUUUUCUUGUGUCAUAAAACUAAAAGAUGUUGGAGAUGUUGGGCAAACCACUGCCUGACAACUUCAUUAAAAUUCUGUUUUGUUUUCCUUCAGUAUUUUGUCUCUCUCUGCCCCCUUUUUACAAUUUAACUUGGCUUAUAAACAUCUUGGUUGUCAUGCUCACAGGCUUGUUUUUGAGUAUUCACAAGCUGAUACAGUUUGGGAACUAAAGAAAACAGGAUCAUGAAGGACGCUGAACUGCAGCAGUGUGUUUCUCUCUCAUAAGAUGCUUCUGGUUACCUUCCUGAAAUACAGGUUUCACAAGGAACUCCUCUGGCGCAGAAGUUUGUCUGGCAAAACUAAUUGAUGUGAAAUGGUCCAAUUAGGAAACACGCUGCACUUUUCCACUUCUGAUGGGGAACUCUGCUAUGAUUUAUGUCCUGUAGGAAGAGUUUACAGACUUGGAAUGCGUCUUCCUUAUUUUUGCACUGAUAAGCAAUAUGACUUGUUUGUGUUUGGCAGUCCCCAGGACCAAAUGCUGGCAAAUAGAAAGGGUAAGAAUUGUUCAACCAAGAGUACAUCUGCCCUAGCUUCUUCAGCUAAUGACCAGCCUAUGUGUGCAUGCCUACUAAUAAAACUGAAAGGAUUGUGUUCAUUAUCAUUUCAUGUAGCAAAACUGAAUGGCAUCCACACCAAACAACUGGUACAUACCCCAUCACAGCUCAGACUGACCUAAAACAAAAUGCCUGCCAUUUUCAGGGACCAUCCUCCUCAGAACCAUCUUUCUCAAUGAAAGGUCACAAAUUAUAGGAGAGCAGGCAGAGAGCUCACUCAUAGAACUAGCUCUGAGCGUCUGAUGUGCCUAGCAGGUUCCUCUAGCAGGAAGAUUUUCCAGGAUCCUAACGCUUAAAUGUCUCCUGCUGGCAGCCAGCUUGAGCCCCCAGGCCUUCUAUUCAUGAGCUCAGUAAUAAAGCACUUUUACUACUUCAGGUUCAUAGCUAAGCGUUUUCCAAAGCAGAGGGUACACCCAUAUGGAAAUUAAAUACUGAGAAGUCAGAGUUUUUCCAGCUAAAACAUUUCAGGUGCUUAAAUUUGCCUGUCCCAAACAUAAAAAAUCCCCAGCAAGGCAAAUGCUCUCACGAGUAAAUAGCUGAUCAAGACAAACAGGUCAGCAGAUAGCUCAGUGACUCUGAGGGCCACUGCCCACUGCUUUACUGGACUUUGAACAGCAUUUCCUAUGGCAUAUUGUUAAAAGGAAAAGCAAGAUAGAGUGAUCUUGUCACAUACAGGAAAAUUCUGUUUAUAAACCUUAUUCUUACCUCAUGUUUUCUGCACGUGAACUUCACCGAUUUGGUACAGUACAUCUACACGGCCACUUGAUUUUUUUUAUUGCAUGAAUUGUUACUGUGCAACAUGAAAAAGCAUCUGAAAGCAACUGAUUUGUUUUCCAUACAUGAUUCAUUUGCAUUGCCUUCAUCAUAAUCCAUUACUAAGGCAGCAGAGUAGGAGUUGAUAGUGCCAUCUUCUCUCUUUCCCCUGCAGAGAUUUAACUAUGUAAAAGAUUGAUCUAAUGGCUUAGUGCUACAGAAAUACUUAAAAAAUAUUCCCUAAGCCCUCGCCCUGUGAUCCACCCAUUCAUUUUGUGGUUGCUCUGAGUCAUGUUAGGCUAUUCUACAAUCCAGUUUGUCUCAUUGAAGCCACUAUAUUCUUUCUUCCUCAUUUUUGCUUUUUUUCCCCCCCCUCCUGUUUUAUUGCAUUAAAUCAGCUCACAGGAGUUGGCCAUGCAGCAGAAUCAGCACACACAGCCAGCAGCUCUCUGAGCAGAAAUAUCAGCACUGAUUUCCAGCAGCAGUGAGCUGGUAACUUAGCUCACCGCAUCUCAGGAAAACAUACUGAGCUAUCAGAUCAUGUGAACAUGCCUCAUCUAUACUGUUUAGAAUCUAAUUAGCUUAACUCCUACUGGAGGUUCUUUUGGACAUGAAGAGACUUCAUAUGGUUGUUUUUGCUUGCUCACCUCUUAAGAAAGCACCCCUCAACAGAAAGGUGGCAACACCUGUAACUAUUGCAAGCAUUUUUACAGAGAGCAUUGAAGCAAAGCCCAGGAGUGUGCAGCUGUCACUGAAGGAAUAACACAAGCACCAGCCGAUGUAAUUACUGUAAUGCAAGGCUGGAUGCGAAGAAAAAACAAACACCAGAUUUAGCAAUUAGAGGUAGGGGUGGUUUCCACACAAAGAACUUUAUUUUCCUAAAUACAGCAGUGAAAAAACAAACUUUUAGAAGAAGAAAAAAAGAAAAAAAAAGAGAGAGGAUUUUAUGUCUAUAUGUUUAAUCACUUUUUCUAAGACAAAAAUCAUUUACAUUCUGAUAACUCACACUCGUAAAUAAAUAAAGGCAGCAGGGCAUAACAUUCAAAUGAGUACCCUGUAAAAUUAGCAAUGUAUUUUUAUUAAUCAGGAAUAUAACACUGCAGUAUUUAACCUUGAAUUUGUAUAUACACAAAUGCCACACCUUACACAGCAGUAAAUCAGGACAUACACCAUAGGAGCAUGUACAAUAAUUUAUGUUAACAAAAGCCUCCUCCAAACUGGUAACAGAGCAAAAACCCUCUGAGAGGUGAGUAACAAAAAUAAAGACUGACAUAACCAAACAAAACCAAUUCAAAGGGAAAUACAGUUAACAAGUAGAAAUUAUGAAGUAUCAUUACCUCCCCAAAAUAUCCAGCAACCUGUUUAGCUCUAAGGUAGGUUACAAAGAACACAGAAAAGUUACUUUACUUCGGUAGAACACUAAAAUGCAAGCUUUUGCAACUUGGUCCAUUUACAUUUUGCUAAUUAUUUAGCCUGCCAUAUUGAGAAGUUGUGUGUUCCUCAAUGUUUGGAUAUAGAAAGGAAUCAUUACAUUCUUCAGAACAAAAGCAAGACUUUGAGAAAUCUCUGCUUUUUCCUUUUCUUUUUUGGUUAAGCAUAUUUAGUUUUCAUUCAUGCAAAAAUUGAACUGAUCCCAUUCCAGAUGAGGAGUUUACCAUAAAAUUUAAAUAAUCGAUUAGAUUACAGAACAAUGGGAAAAAGCUUAAUCCACACGGUAUCGUGCUACCAAAUCCUAGUCAGUUAAUGAAAAUGGCACUAACCUUACACAUUUGCCUCACUAGAGAUGCAGGCUUGACUUUUCAAUUCAGAGAAGCUGAAAGAUAAGCAGAGUUAAAAUAGAUCUGAAAACUAUACUUACUCAUUUUUUGCCUAAGUUCAAACACUUAUAAAGCUACACAUGGCCUCCAAAGAACACCACCAUUAAAUUGUUAAACAACCUACAAGAAACCACUGCAGACCUGACAGCAAUACAAAAGAAAAAUGCAUACUAUUACCACACUGUUACAUUCUUACAUUUCCUAAAAAUUUAAGCAUAAACCAGAGAUUGAAGUUCAAACACAGAGAAAUCUUGAAAUGAGUAAAAUAAUUCAGGUGUCAAACAUCACUAUUCCGUGUCAGCCAUAAAAUCUAUGAAUACAGAUUGGAAUUUUACCCAGAAGAAAUGGUUUUAUUUAUUUAUGUAUUUAUUUUUAGGUAAGGGCAGAUACAUUCAACCAGGUUCUAUCUCUGAAGAGCCAGGGAGAACCCUGCAGCAAAUGUUCUGUCAUUGCCAAACUGUACCUUAGGUACCUAACUGAAAAAACAGAUUGGUUUUGGCAAGUAAAAUGCAGAGAAAUCACAUGCAUGCUCACAAAACAAGAUAUACUCACACUCUGAAGUGACACAGGCUUUCAGCAGCAUCUGAAAGCAUGUUGCAGAGGAAGAGUACUCCCUCCUCCUUGUCCCCGAUCUCCGUAUUUACUUUAAAAUAAAUAAAUUCAUUUUUAAAUAGAAUAUAUUUUUCCAAACUUUGAUGCUUGUUGUCAGGACGCCAUACAGCAGUUCUCACCUAUUGUAUUACAUUAACUUGAGAUACAGUGGAAUUAUAUAUGCAUAAUAAAUCCAGUUUGCAUCAAGAUGCCAGUAAACAGUUUCUGUAUCCACACAUAAUGGUGCAUGUUUGUGGUGUCCUAAAGGCACUUGUCUCUCACAGACAGCACUGUCUUAUUUAAUAGGUUAAAAAUAUAUCUAAAAAUACUUUAACAUCAGAAAUGGUCUUUACUCCUUAAAGAGGUGCAAAACAUCACCUAUGGAACUUUGAUUCAUUAAUUCAACAUGAAAGAGCGAAGUGCAAAGUUUCUGUAAUUAAAUAUAUCUCUCUGUAUUCAUUCAUUUUAAUGCCAUGCUCAAAAAAAAAAAAAAAAAAAAGCUAAAAA